rnacentral:lncRNA from 1 species
AGACCACCACAGUGACUUAUAAGCAACCAUAGUACUUUAAUAUCAUACCAUCUGAGUUUCUAACUUAUUAACGAAAGGAUACUAGGUGCAAUCAAGUACUUAUCAAGUUGGUGUGUGAGUCAAGAUGGAAUUGACCCCUCUGAAUUGAUAGAAGAUAUGCAUCAGUGUAUUUUAAUUUAGCAAAACCUUGACCAAGAUAAUCCAUUAGGUGGAUUUAA